AGCAGCCGCCGCGGUAAAACGAAGGGGGCUAGCGUUGUUCGGAAUUACUGGGCGUAAAGCGCACGCAGGCGGCUCGAUAAAUUAGAAGUGAAAGCCUUGGGCUUAACCUGAGAAUUGCUUUUAAGACUGUCGAGCUAGAAUCCAGAAGAGGGUAGUGGAAUUCCGAGUGUAGAGGUGAAAUUCGUAGAUAUUCGGAAGAACACCAGUGGCGAAGGCGACUACCUGGUCUGGCAUUGACGCUCAUGUGCGAAAGCGUGGGGAGCAAACAGGAUUAGAUACCCGGGUAGUCCCUGUCUCUUAUAC
rnacentral:rRNA from 1 species